UACGAAGGGGGCUAGCGUUGCUCGGAAUUAUUGGGCGUAAAGAGCUCGUAGGCGGUUUGUCGCGUCUGCCGUGAAAGUCCGGGGCUCAACUCCGGAUCUGCGGUGGGUACGGGCAGACUAGAGUGAUGUAGGGGAGACUGGAAUUCCUGGUGUAGCGGUGAAAUGCGCAGAUAUCAGGAGGAACACCGAUGGCGAAGGCAGGUCUCUGGGCAUUAACUGACGCUGAGGAGCGAAAGCAUGGGGAGCGAACAGG
rnacentral:rRNA from 1 species